GAGUGCAAGCGAUACACCAUUCUGCGCCUGUCGGAAAGUGACAACCUGGUGAGGUGUGACUAUUGUGACCACGUCCCUAAUGCACACGGAAAAAUAUGUGAUCUCGAAACGAAAAAUGCAGCCGAGGCAAAGGUGCAAUGCAAUGUGCCAGGCACCGUUGUUCGAGGCCUCAGUGUCACAUGAAACUGUGGAAGCUUGCACAUCUAGUCUCUCCUCAGUGCAAUAUGAGAGGACUGUCCCAGUUGGUGCCUCCAUAGAAAAUGAAUCGGCCUGAAUGCCUGUGCAAGAAUCACAGCCUGGCUGCUCUAAAGACUCCGCACCGUAGUCCCAUGUGCAAGAGCCCCCACUUGACAGCCCAGUGGUUGCCAUGGACAAAGAGAUCCGCGAUACUGAAUGCGGCCAAGCAGUACAAGUUUUUACAUGGACAGUUAACACGAAGUUAUUGACGACAUGCAUGGCUGAAACACGGUGAUAUGAUUUUAAAAAUUCCUGUGUUAUGAUGCAAGUGAUAGUAUUCUGUUGAAUUUUCAGAUCUAGUCAUGUGCCAGCAAGGCCUGCUGUACUUCUGGUGUAUUCUAUGUUGUAUUUUCAAAUAAAGAUGUUGCAUUCUGAAGUUAACCUUA